GCCGAAGUGGUGGAAUUGGUAGACACGCUGUCUUGAGGGGGCAGUGGCCUUUGGCCGUGCCGGUUCGAGUCCGGCCUUCGGCACCA
rnacentral:tRNA from 2 species